rnacentral:rRNA from 1 species
GAUGAACGCUGGCGGCGUGCCUAAUACAUGCAAGUCGAGCGAACGGACGAGAAGCUUGCUUCUCUGAUGUUAGCGGCGGACGGGUGAGUAACACGUGGAUAACCUACCUAUAAGACUGGGAUAACUUCGGGAAACCGGAGCUAAUACCGGAUAAUAUUUUGAACCGCAUGGUUCAAAAGUGAAAGACGGUCUUGCUGUCACUUAUAGAUGGAUCCGCGCUGCAUUAGCUAGUUGGUAAGGUAACGGCUUACCAAGGCAACGAUGCAUAGCCGACCUGAGAGAGUGAUCGGCCACACUGGAACUGGGACGCGGUCCAGACUCCUACGGGAGGCAGCAGUAGGGAAUCUUCCGCAAUGGGCGAAAGCCUGACGGAGCAACGCCGCGUGAGUGAUGAAGGUCUUCGGAUCGUAAAACUCUGUUAUUAGGGAAGAACAUAUGUGUAAGUAACUGUGCACAUCUUGACGGUACCUAAUCAGAAAGCCACGGCUAACUACGUG